rnacentral:rRNA from 1 species
UACGGAGGGUGCGAGCGUUGUCCGGAAUUAUUGGGCGUAAAGGCGCGUAGGCGGCCAUGCGUGUCUCCCGUGAAAUCCCCCGGCUUAACCUGGGAACUGCGUCCGAUACUGGAAGGCUUGAAUCCGGGAGAGGGAUGCGGAAUUCCAGGUGUAGCGGUGAAAUGCGUAGAUAUCUGGAGGAACACCGGUGGCGAAGGCGGCAUCCUGGACCGGCAUUGACGCUGAGGCGCGAAAGCCAGGGGAGCAAAGCGGG